CCCUUAGAUGUUCUGGGCUGCACGCGCGCUACACUGAAGCGUUCAACGAGUAUUCACCUUGCCCGGGAGGGUUGGGUAAUCUUUUUAAAACGCUUCGUGAUGGGGAUAGAUUAUUGCAAUUAUUAAUCUUCAACGAGGAAUGCCUAGUAAGCGCAAGUCAUCAGCUUGCGUUGAUUACGUCCCUGCCCUUUGUACACACCGCCCGUCGCUCCUACCGAUUGAAUGGUCCGGUGAAGCGUUCGGACCGUGGCCUUUGGACGGUUCGCCGUCUGUUGGCUGCGGGAAGUUCGUUAAACCUUAUCAUUUAGAGGAAGGAGAAGUCGCAACA
rnacentral:rRNA from 1 species